AUACGUAGGGAGCGAGCGUUGUCCGGAAUUACUGGGCGUAAAGGGCGCGUAGGCGGCGCUUCAAGUCGUCUGUCAAAUGGAAGGGCUUAACCCUUUUCGCAGACGAAACUGGAGAGCUUGAGAAGCAGAGAGGCACACAGAAUUCCUGGUGUAGCGGUGAAAUGCGUAGAGAUCAGGAAGAAUACCAGUGGCGAAGGCGUUUUGCUGGCUGCAUACUGACGCUGAAGCGCGAAAGCCAGGGGAGCUAACGGGAUUAGUUACCCCGGUAGUGCUGGCAGUAAACGAUGUAUGCUGGGUGUGAGACUAGCGAUAGUUUCGUGCCGAAGUUAACGCGAUAAGCAUACCGCCUGGGGAGUACGGUCGCAAGAUUGAAACUCAAAGGAAUUGACGGGG
rnacentral:rRNA from 1 species